rnacentral:lncRNA from 1 species
GAAACCUUACCAUGAUUAUCCUAAUUGCAACUUAAUGAUAAUCUAUUGAUAAGGAAAUAUUGGAACCCAAUGACGAAGGGGAGGAACUUGAUCCAUCCCAAUGUCAUGUGGUCGCCAAGCACUUAGUGCAUAGGUUUGAGAUGAUUCAAACAUGCAGUGCGACACAAUCUUUCAAACAUGCUUUAAGGUUCAAGGUAAACUUUCUUCCUUGAUAAUUGACAGUGAAAGUUGCGAUUAAGUGUUUAGUAACUUAUUGGUAGAUACUUAGAAAUUACCUUGUCGAAAACAUUAUAAGCCAUAUCAUCUUCAAUGGCUUAAGGAAGGUUCUGAGGUAAAUGUUCUUAAAUAGUUCCUUAUUUCAUUUCCCAUUAGAAACUAUUCUGGUGAUGUUUGGUAUGAUGUAGUCCUAAUGCAUGUCGUCUAUUUACUUUUUGGGGCACCCUUGGUAAUUUAAUCAAGAUGUAAUCCACCAUGGUAAACAGAACUAGUAAUCCUUUUUCUCUAAAGGGAAGAAAUUUACUUUGACUCCCAUGGCUCAAAAUGAAAUUUACAAAGAGUAUGUUAAAAUGUCAAAAAAUUGUUCUGGGUUAAGGUAGGUAAGGAAUUAAAAGCCAAGAGUGAAGAGACCAAUAGUUAGAAAAGCCAAAAUAAUGAUACAUUGAUGAGUGCAUCCCUCUAUGAAAAGAAAAGAGUGAAACAACACUUUUAUUUGAGAGAAAAAGAUGAGAGGGGAGCCCUUUUCUCAAAAAAAUCCUUUUAUCCUAACCCAAUUUAGGUAAAUAAAUUUAUCUUUAUCUAACCUUAAAAAAAAUUACCUAGUAUGUUUGUUUCUCUUUUGCAAGAAUAUGAUGAUUUCUUUGCUAAUACGUUGAUACGAGAGACCGAAAUUGGAUUUUCAGAGCUCGUACAAGACACUCAAAGUUUAUGACUUUUUCUUCAAAUGAAAUUAACUUAUUGCAAUAGUAGCUUCUAGAAUGAAGUUUGUGGGUUCAAAUCUGAAAAUUUCUAACAAGAAUUAGAUGAUAAAUCAAUGGAAAAUAAAUAAUUAAAGAAUCAAAGAUGAUAAAUAAAAGAUGAUAGAUAUUUAUCGAAAGAAGAUGAAUGAUGUUGAUUAUAAAUAGUUGGAUUGAUAGCCUAGCCCUAUUUGCUAAAUUUGCACCAAAAAAGAACUAUAUUGGGCUUAAUCAACCAUCCCAGUUGACUUAAAUUAGGCAAGCUAAAUUUAUGAUGAACCCCCUCCACAAUUUUGAAGAAUUGAAGCAAAAGUUUUAUCAAGAAAGAACCAAGAAACUAGUGUUGUAAGCAAAUCUCCCUUAGAGUAUUUUAUUACUAAAAAAUAAAGCAAAAUACUUAUGGUGGCUAGAGAUGCUUAGUUAUUUGUAAGCAUGUAAGUUCUACCUGAACCUUAAGGACUUAGUCAACUAUCUUGCAAAGUAAGUAACAUUAAGCUCCUUAGACCUAGUCAAACUCUUAUUAAUAUAAAAUAUUAAAAAUUAGAAAUAAAUAAAUAUAACACUUAAUAAAUACAUUUUUUUAGAUCAUAAAUAUCAAACAUUAAAAUUGAACACAAUAUGAUUUAAAAGCUGAUUCGACAUAUAAUACUUGAAAUUGAGGAUUUAUUCAUGUAUAGAAAAUUUUAUUAAUGUAGUUUUCACUAAAAUAGUCAUAUCUUAAGCUCCAAAAGUCAAUAUAAGGUGAUUCAAAUUGUGUUUCGAAUCCAAGAGACAUUUUUUUCAAUCAAAAGACAUCUCAACCCAAAAUACCUGCAUCUCAUACAAAAAUGUGUCGUAAGUUGACUGAUCAUUUAGACUUGAAAUUUGACAUCGUUGGUGAAACUAAUUUAAUGAGUCUCAACCCAUCUGUGCUUGCUUCAUAUGCCUAAGGGAUUGCCACCUAUCACAUAUUUUUGUGAAAAGCUACAUGGUGCACAACUUAAUUAUUUGAUCUAUAAUAAGGAAUUGUUAGCAUUAGUUCCAGUACUUGAAGUUUCACAACAUUAUCUCUUACUUAACUUUGUUUUAUUAAAACUUCAGAUUUUUUGCAUGAACUUCUUUUAUGGCUUUAUAUGUGAUCUACCACGAAUGGCACUAUUAUUUACGUUCCUUUUUACCCAUAAGUAUAGCUUGUUUAAUAGCAAAUCAAAGAAUCUUUGUAUAUAUUUAGGUUUUUGAUCUGUCAUAAUUCGAUGUAGUAGAUUAAACUAGUUUUCCCAUUUAAGGAGCUUGAAUACAAGCAUUUUUGUUAUGUUUUCGUUAAGUUUUCUUAGUUUUAUUUAUAUUCAAAUAAAAUGUGCUAAUUGAGUCUUUUAUUGACCUUAGCGGUCGAAUAAGGCCUAUGGGUGAGCCAACGCACUUUGUGAGUGUGCAAGAAUGGAGAAAGCUCAAGACUGCUUUUGAUGUCACGAUACAAACAGAGGGUGUCACGACAUACCUUUGAAAAUAGUUGAAAAGGAGUAUACUGAUUUCUAUGUCGAGAUACAUGUUCUAGUGUGCCAUGACAUCGACUCUGUGACAGAAAUUAAACAUGAAUCAAGGGUGCUUUGGUCUGUACAAUCAAACUUAAAGCUCAGGAACGUCAGCUAACCUCUGGUUAAGGACGAAGGCUACUUGAGGGCUAUAAAUAGGCUCAUUUGUCACUUGUUAUGGACAGCAUUCCUUUAGCCCAAAUUCUCUGUGUAAGAUUUAGUUUAGUAUUUUCUUUCAUUAUUAGGUUUUAGAUUUAUUUUGGUUGUUCUUUUUGAUUUCAAGAGAUCUAAAUUAUGGAAGCAUUCAAACUUUGUGGAUUCGCGAUUAAUCUCAAUACAAUCAAGCUCUUUC